ACAGAGCCUGACGCGGGGCUCGAACCCACAAACUGUGAGAUCAUGACCUGAGCCGAAGUUGGAUGCUUAACCAACUGAGCCACCCAGGUACCCCAUAAUAAUAAUAUUUUAAACUUAAUAACACCUUGCAGAUUUAAACAAUGGGGAAAAAGCAUUUUCUAUUUCUUUGAAUCAUUUAUUCAAACAUUGACCUUAAAUUUGGACUUCAGUCACAUAGGAUCAGAAAACAUAUCAAGAAACUUACACAUCUACCUUUGUUAAAAAGUGGGCAAAAAAAGUCCUCCUUCAUAACCCUGACACAAGUCUAGAGGGUUGUGUGACAAUGGGAUCUACUUAACCUCGUGUCACCCGUGAUAUUAUGAGUAAGAGGAAUGUGGACAGUAAUGGAAAGUUUGACAGAUUUUAAAGUCUUGGUUUUAACCAGAUGGGCACUUAGACUUUAGGGACUUUGGGGACCACACUUGUAAGUGACCUGCUCCCUGGGAGCCAUGAUGUUGGGCAGAGGGUGGAACCAAGUCCUUCAGGCGACAUUGUGGAUGACUGCCCCACACUGGGUGAGGGAAGAGGGGGUCCCAGGGGCUCUGUCAGGCAUUAUUGGGAGGGAAAUACAUCAGCAUGGCCUUACAGCCUCUCUAGGGGACAUCCACAUCUGUUUUUCCUGGUAUAUUGCUUUUGUAUAUUAUGAGUAAAUAAAUGUGGGGAAAGUACAUGGGCUCAGAGAAGAGAAUCUCCAUAUAUUUUAUAAGGUGUUAAUAUUGGCAUCUCUUAACCAUUCUCAUUUUACAAUCUUUAUCAAGCUAUCUUGCAAUUGUGCAGUCAUAGAACAUGUGGCUGAAGAGUCUAUGAAGAAAUUAAAACAUAUUUAAUAAGCAUUUCUGAUGUGCUAAGCUAUGUUAAGUACUUUAUAUGCACUAUGUUAGUAAUCCUAUGGAGGUAUUUUCUUCUUUAUAAAAAAGGAAAUUCAUGCCCCCAAAAGUCAAACGUGAUUAAGAUCAUCAGCUGGUACACAGAGUGAAUAACACUGAAAUCCUGAAGACUGAUAGCACAGAAUUAGACUCUUCCAAAAUCUAAUGAAAUGUAACAGCAAAAAGCCACAGUCUAAAAGAAAAAAGGGCAAGUUACUCUUUGUGUCAGCAUUUGAUUAAAAAGAAAAAAACCACAACACUUGUUUUCAGAAUCAUUUACAAUAACCAAGAUAAGGAAGAGUCCACUGAUUGAUGAAUGGGUGUCCAACUAGCUGGCUGUCCAUUGGGAACACUCCAAAUCAUGCCCUUCUUUGGACCUUCAACGUUGAAGUCUUUGGAUGGACAGGACGUAAUCAGAUUUGUAUUUUGGAAAGAUGGCAUUAGUGGCAGUUUGAGUAACGAGUCUGGGACCAGCACAGAAGCUGGGGAUCUACUACUGAAAUAACCCAGGUAAUGGGUCCUGUGAGCCUGAACUGGAAGAGAGGGAGUGGGAAUAAAGGACUGGGGACAGAUCUGAAAGAUAUUCAGGAGAUAGUAUGAGUAGGUCAGUAUGACCCGUGAAAAAGAUUUUAUUUCUGCUUCGAAAAAGACAGUCUCUGGUUUGGACUUUUACCCUGUAAGUGGCUAUUCCUAAGUUAUAAGGAAACAUAAUUCCUAGUAUUGUUGUUGUUGUUGUUGUUUUUUAAGGUUUUCAUUAUGAAUAAGUCCUGGGUUUUAUGAAAUGCUUUUUCAAUACAUACUAAAACCAUCAUAUGGUGUCUUACUCAGGCUACUAAAGUAUUAUAUUCAUAGAGUUCCUUAGGUUGAAUUGUUAAAUUUCUGGGCUAAGUUUUACUUGGUUAUGAUACUUCAUUCUUCUAAGGAAGUAUUGAUUUUUUCUUGUAACAAGGGCAAAUAUUUUAUUUAUCUUAACAGCUGCUACCAUACUUUUUCUUACAUAGGAUCUUACUCUAGAAAAGUCCUUUGAAAAAGCCUUUUGAGGUGACUCUGAUAACAAUGUGGUCAGCAAGGGACCACAAGAUCAGUCAAGAAAUACGAUUGAGCAUCUACUGUGGCCCUGUUCUAAGUCUCUAGGGGAUUGAGUCAUGAGCAAGACAGAUGAAACCCCCUGAUUCUGUAGAGCUUACAUUCCAAUUAGAGAUAAAGAAAUUAAACAGGUAACAAAUAACUAAGGUAAUCAUUAAAGUUCGUGAAAAAAGGAAAGGGUGUUGAUUUUGAUAAUAUGGCCACAGAAAUCCUCUCCAGGGAAGUAACAUGAGGGAAAGGCAAAAGAGGAGAUGGCUCAAUUCCUCUGUUUGAGACAAUGGGAUAAAUCCAUUUUUGGCAUCAGAGAAAGAGAGGGUAGAGGGGAAAGACACAGGAGGGGGAAAGGAUGGGGAGAAAAUACUCAGCAAGUUCGUAAAGAAUCACGUGAGGUAGUGCAGCCACAGAAUUUCUUCCAAUUUCCAGUUAAUUUUGACAGCCAACUAAGUGUAAUAUCUCGUUGUAAUGAAUAUAGAUAAAUGCCAAAGAAGAGAGUGACACAAUGACAGAGUGAAUCUGAGUCUUGAGACUUUUUUGGUAGUUUUUUUUAAAGAGCACCUUGGGUUUUUAAUGACUUAAAAUUGAUAUAAAAAUAAGAGUCUCUUGAAAAUCUAACAGAAAAUCAAUUGAAUAAAAGAAUUAUAAUACUUUCAAUCCUAUCUGAAUUUGCAGGCAAAACAAUUAUGGAGAAUCUGAAUCACUCGAGACCAAUUUUUUUUUUCACCAGAUAUUUAAACGUUGGAGUGUAUCAUUGAAAUAAUAAGAAUAGUAAUCCUACUACUUAAAGUAAAUAGGCUUUAUCUUACUAUGAUUAAUCUUGUUUAAAAUAUUUUGUAGAACGAAUUUUAAUACUAUUCCCCCAAAACUGCUUUAUUAAUUGAGGAUGAGAAAAGAUUCAUAAGAUCGGUAUGUCAAUUUACAUUUUUGAUUUUAUUUAGUAUGUAUCAUAGGAUAUGAUGGUCACAGAGAUUAGGUGGUAACUGCCUUGAAGAGUAUGGUUAAAUGGACUCAUGAUUGGUGUUAAGAUUGCUGUUCUCUAGGUUUCUCCAGUUAUGACUUAGAAGUGCCCGGCUGCCUCCAUAUACAGCAAAGUUAAUGGGUGGUCAUGCCAAGCCUACAUCAGUUAGUAUGCUGAAAUGUGCAAAGAGAUGACUGAGGAAGCUGGAUCCAGGGUACUGAAGGAGGUUUUGUAACAUUGCUCAUGUCUCUCCCUCCCUCUGAAUGCCAUUCCUUCCUUACCUUAUAUGCUGUGCUUCUCUUCUAAGCGUCAGUGGAAUCUCCCCUGACCCCACAUUUGUGCCUCGCACACGUAUUGUCUCAAUCCAGGACUCACAACUGCACUCAUAGUUAUUCUCAAACUAUGCGUUCCUUUUCAUACUUUACUUCUCCAGCAUCUCAGACUGUUCCUUCCUCGUUAAUGUUUGUGGAAGGAAAGAGUGAGUGAAUAAUGCAGUGAAUCCAACUAAAUAAACCAGGGUCGGAUAAAUUAUAAGAGUAAGCACAUACCUCGGGGAUUGUAUAGUAGGUGCUCAGAGUGCAAAAAAUAGAAAGGGAUUUUUUAAGCUGCUUUCGUGUCCUUCAAGGCAGUUCCAAGGAUGACGACCACCCCUGUGAAGGGCACCAGUGCGCAAAGAAACUCCACUGUCUCAAAUAGUAGGACUUGUGUGUAUUUUAAGCAACAGGUUUGUAGGUGAACUAGAUGUGGACUCCAAGGGAUCGAGAGAUGACGACUAAACAUCUAGGAAGAGGGAGGAAUUUGGCUGUAUGGAUCUCAGAAUGAGGUUCUGGUGUGAAGACAAUUUGGAAGUCUUUUAAAAGUCUAGGUGAUGUCAGCCAUGGACUGAAUGAGCUUAGUCAGGGAGAGAGAGCAGAAGAGGGCAGCAAGGGCCUAGGUUCUGACACACUUCAACAUCUAGAAGAGAAGCCGCUAGCAAAGGUGACAGAGGAUUGGCUACAAAGAGGCAAACAGGGAAAAUUGUAUUGCCAACACCUAGAGGAUGGUGGAAAGAGGUAUGUACAGUAUGAGUGAGAAUCAGACAAAAUAAAGAUGUUUCAAAGAGGGUUCAGGUUGGAUUGAGAACAAUGUAGUCAUGGAUUCCACGUUACUACACUUUUUUAAUUUUUAUUUUUUUAAAGAGAGGGAGUAUGCAAGCAGGGUAGAGGGGCAGGAGGAGAAAGAGAGAGAAUCCUAAGCAGGUUCCACACUGAGCAUAGAGCCCAACGUGAGACUCAAUCCCACAACCCUGAGAUCAUGACCUGAACUGAAAUCAAAGACUUGGACCCUCAACCAACUGAGCCACCCCAUAUUACUACACUUUUAACAGGUUAAACGGUAAACGGGUUAAAAUAAAAUAUCUUGCAUUUAAUGCAAAUAUUUGUUUCAUCAUUCACUUAUUUCAUCAUAUGCUAUGAUUCUAAAAGAGUAAAAAUUAAGUAUUUCAGGAAUUAUAGUUCCCAUCAUUAAUUUUAUACAAGGUAAAAUCAGGAAAGAAAACACUCAUCAAAUGCUUACUACAUGUGCCUUGUGUUGUUUUACAUGUUGUUCAAUUUCAUUAACAACUACGUGACUUAGGUUGAUGGUUUUUAUUUUGCAUGUUGGCUCCAGUGGAUUGAACUGGUAACGUAACCUUAAAGCUUUGUAUUGAUAAAAGUUCGGAAGCUACGUCUGGAUUCAGCUAGAAGGGGGGCCGUGAUCAAUUUUCAAGGUUGGCCAUGGCCAAGGGAGGAGGAGGAAAUGACAGAUGUAUCUCUAACUUAUGUUUAUUUUCAUUUUACAAACGAAACUAAAGCCCAGAAUCCCAUAAGGAAUAGAGAAAAUUGUCAUACUGAUCUCCAAACCUCAUAGCUUAGUUUAUUCUUUCUUUUAUCUGCAAACAUUUACAAAUAAAUGGGGCCUAGAAAUAUUAUUGAUAUACAUUAAUUUCGCCAUUAUUAAAAUGAUAAUGUAGAUUAUAUUUAUUGACAAAGACAAGGACAUUCAAAAUACAUUGUUAGGUGAAAAAGGAUUUUAAAAACCAUUAUGUAUAGUGUAGUCCUACAUUGAAAAAGUGUGUGUGAUGUGCCCACACAUAGAAACAAAUAUAUGUAUAUAUAUAAUUUUUUGCAUGGGGCAAUACAUGGAAGAAUAUACUUUAAAAUAAUAACAGUGUUGGGGCGCCUGAGUGGCUCAGUCGGUUAAGUGUCCGCCUUUGGCU